UUCUCAGCUGUGGGGAGGAGCGAGGUGCAAGGAGGGUGGUGGGCGGUCCGGGAGAACCGGCGGGAGAGAGCGAGUAGAAAGCCGGGUGUGGCACAACCGGGAGGGAGGGCGUGGGGUGGCAAGUGAUGGGGGACUUUGCUCGAAGGGACCAGUCCCGAGCAAUAAGAAACGGGACAUUUGCUGAUGAAGGACAAUGAGGGUCAGGGUGAACACAACUUCAACAAAUAAGGGGCGGAGCGUGUGCUGGGGAUGGGUACUUGGACAGGUGAGGACUAGGCGAGAGGACGUAUUGGGAGGCAGAGGAUGGGUAGAGUUUUGCUGAUUAGGGGCAGGUCCCAGGCGGGAAAGGAGCUGCUCACGCUCAGGACACCUACCCAAAACUCUGCAGUCCUGAUUGCAGCUAAAGAACCUUCCUGUUGAUGAACUCAAAUGAACCUCAACUAAGUUCAGCCUCCAGACUUUGGCGGUUUCCGCCCCUGAGGCGGUCACCUGGGAAAUUAAGACAAAAGACCUUCUGCAGACCACCAUCUUAUCUCUGAAAGAAGCUGCCUGGGACACUGAGAUACAACACCUGCUGCCUGAGGACUUCCGCAGACAUCCAAGCUGAUGGUGACCUUCGCCCCUGCCUCUCCACUGACUAUUUCCUGACUCCUCCCACAAUGUUUAUGUUAUGCAAAUAUCAUUGUAACCUAGAGACCCAAUUUCGGUUACCCGUGUACAUAUAAAUGCUGAACCCCAAAAGUAAAGUACGAAGUCUUGAUUGGGCUAUUUCAACUUGACUUCGCAUCCUUUUGUUCU